rnacentral:rRNA from 1 species
GAUCGGGCUAGGGGCCAUAAAGGUUACCGAACCCUGUCAAACUCCGAAUGGUUAUACUGUAGAGCUUGGGAGUCAGACUACGAGUGAUAAGAUCCGUGGUCAAAAGGGAAACAGCCCAGACCACCAGCUAAGGUCCCCAAUGUCGUACUAAGUGGAAAAGGAUGUGGGGUCUCUAAAACAACCAGGAUGUUGGCUUAGAAGCAGCCACCAUUUAAAGAGUGCGUAAUAGCUCACUGGUCGAGAGACCCUGCGCCGAAGAUUACCGGGGCUAAAGUACGAAACCGAAGCUGUGGCUACGACGUAAGUCGUGGGGUAGGGGAGCGUUCUGUGAGGGCUGAAGUCGUUCUGUAAGGAACGGUGGACUUCACAGAAGUGAGAAUGUUGGUAUGAGUAGCGAAAAGAAUGGUGAGAAUCCAUUCCACCGAAAGCAUAAGGAUUCCUGGGCAACGAUCGUCGUCCCAGGGUAAGUCGGGACCUAAUCCGAGGCAUGGAGCGUAGGAGAUGGACAACUGGCAGAUAUUCCAGUACCGGUAAUGAUUGUUUGAGCGAUGGAGUGACACAGGAGGGCAGGCAGGCAGGAGAUUGGUUGUUCCUGUACAAGCGUGUAGGAUGGGUUGCAGGCAAAUCCGCAACCUGUGAGUCUGAGGCGUGAUGUGGAGGUUCCGGAAACGGAACUGAAGCUGCUGACCCCACACUGUCGAGAAAAGCUUCUAGUUAGAGAAUUACCGCCCGUACCGUAAACCGACACAGGUAUGCGGGGAGAGAAUCCUAAGGUGCGCGGGAGAACCCUCGUUAAGGAACUCGGCAAAAUGUACCCGUAACUUCGGGAUAAGGGUAGCCGCUGUUGUGAAGUCUGAACAGACGGAGCAUGAGGCGGUCGCAGAGAAGAGGCCCAAGCGACUGUUUACCACAAACACAGGUGCCUGCUAAAGAGAAAUCUGACGUAUAGGUGCUGACACCUGCCCAGUGCCGGAAGGUUAAGGAAGGAUGUCCGGAGCAAUCCAAAGCAUUCGACCGAAGCCCCGGUGAACGGCGGCCGUAACUAUAACGGUCCUAAGGUAGCGAAAUUCCUUGUCGGGUAAGUUCCGACCCGCACGAAAGGUGUAACGAUUUGGGCACUGUCUCAACGAGGGACCCGGUGAAAUUGAAGUACCUGUGAAGAUGCAGGUUACCCGCGACUGGACAGAAAGACCCCAUGGAGCUUUACUGUAACCUGACAUUGGGUUCUGAUACAUCACGUACAGGAUAGGUGGGAGGCAUGGAAGCGAGGACGCUAGUCUUCGUGGAGCCGCCGUUGGGAUACCACCCUUGAUGUAUCGGAAUUCUAACCGUAGGAGUAACGAAACUCGGGACAGUGUCAGGCGGGCAGUUUGACUGGGGCGGUCGCCUCCCAAAGAGUAACGGAGGCGCCCAAAGGUUCCCUCAGCGCGGCCGGAAAUCGCGCGAAGAGUGUAAAGGCAGAAGGGAGCUUGACUGAGAGCCAAACACGGCGAUCAGGUACGAAAGUAGGGCUUAGUGAUCCGGUGGCAUCCAAGUGGAAGGGCCAUCGCUCAACGGAUAAAAGCUACCCUGGGGAUAACAGGCUAAUCUCUCCCAAGAGUCCAUAUCGACGGGGAGGUUUGGCACCUCGAUGUCGGCUCAUCACAUCCUGGGGCUGAAGUCGGUCCCAAGGGUUGGGCUGUUCGCCCAUUAAAGUGGUACGUGAGCUGGGUUCAGAACGUCGUGAGACAGUUCGGUCCCUAUCCAUCGCGGGCGCAAGAGAUUUGAAGGGGGCUGCUCCUAGUACGAGAGGACCGGAGUGGACGAACCAAUGGUGUGCCAAUUAUCUCGCCAGAGGUAUAGUUGGGUAGCUACGUUCGGAAAGGAUAAACGCUGAAAGCAUCUAAGCGUGAAACCAGCCUUAAGAUGAGAUCUCUCAUAGAGUAAUCUAGUAAGACACCUUGGAGAAGACGAGGUUGAUAGGUCGGGAGUGUAAGUACAGUAAUGUAUUCAGCGGACCGAUACUAAUAUGUCGAGGGCUUGACUUA